AUGUGUGUAUCGAAGGAGAGAGGUGGUAUGGGAUUCAGAGAUUUACACUGCUUUAAUUUGGCUCUCCUUGCAAAACAGUGUUGGAGGCUUCUGUGUGAACCAGACUCCUUAUGUGCUACAGUCUUGAGAGCAAAAUAUUUUCCUGAGGGUGAUCUACUUAAUUGCAGUCUUAAGAAGGGUAGCUCUUACACUUGGCAAAGUCUUUGGUAUGGCAUUCAAUCUUUCAAGAGAGGGAAUAUAUAUGGCAAGUAG
rnacentral:rRNA from 1 species